GUCCAUUAGAGGCGCCUGGUUCAAAUAAUUCUCUGACAACCAAGCCAGAACCGUCAAUGAAGUGGUUGUGUCUACUGGAAGAUUCAGAUAAUAGAGUAAUUUCAAUCCCAUCAACAGCUUGUGAGCUUGGCAAAUUGUGAUUGCGUGCCACGGCUGGGCUUCCUCUUUCGGGAAGAAGCUCCAGACCAGUUUCAUCCUCAUUAUUGGAUGGAAAUUUAGACAAGAGUUCAUCACUGCAAGCAGCUGCGGACAUUUCUCGAGAUCGGUUAUCAAGGAUUUCGAAAAUUAAUCUCUGUAUUAAAGUUCGCUUGAGGUAGGCCUCAGCAGGUGGGAACCAAUCCACAU
rnacentral:misc_RNA from 1 species